rnacentral:rRNA from 1 species
UACAGAGGGGGCGAGCGUUUAUUCGGAAUUAUUGGGCGUAAAGGGCGCGUAGGCGGCCUUUCAAGUGACGGGUGAAAUCCCUCGGCUUAACCGAGGAACUGCCUGUCAGACUGGAAGGCUUGAGACCGGGAGAGGUGAGUGGAACUGCGAGUGUAGAGGUGAAAUUCGUAGAUAUUCGCAAGAACACCAGUGGCGAAGGCGGCUCACUGGCCCGGUACUGACGCUGAGGUGCGAAAGCGUGGGGAGCAAACAGG